GGCAGGCCUAACACAUGCAAGUCGAACGCGAAAGUUCCUUCGGGGGCGAGUAGAGUGGCGGACGGGUGAGUAACGCGUAGGAAUCUGCCCUGUAGUGGGGGAUAACCCGGGGAAACUCGGGCUAAUACCGCAUACGCCCCAAGGGGGAAAGCGGGGGAUCCUCUAGAGACUCGAUGCAAGAGGCAAGAAGCGAGAGAAGACGGGCAACACGCUAGCGUGUUGCGGUCUUCAGGGUCUUGGCUCUUGGAGGUUGCGAAGCGACCGAUCUGGCGUCUAGUGUCUAGAGGGCCUCGCGCUAUGGGAGGAGCCUGCGUCGGAUUAGCUAGUUGGUAGGGUAAAGGCCUACCAAGGCGACGAUCCGUAGCUGGUCUGAGAGGAUGAUCAGCCACACCGGAACUGAGACACGGUCCGGACUCCUACGGGAGGCAGCAGUGGGGAAUAUUGCGCAAUGGGCGAAAGCCUGACGCAGCCAUGCCGCGUGUGUGAAGAAAGCCUUCGGGUUGUAAAGCACUUUCAGUGGGGAGGAAAGGGCACUGGUUAAUACCCAGUGCAGUUGACGUUACCCACAGAAGAAGCACCGGCUAAUUCCGUGCCAGCAGCCGCGGUAAUACCGAAGGUGCGAGCGUUAAUCGGAAUUACUGGGCG
rnacentral:rRNA from 1 species